rnacentral:rRNA from 1 species
GCGAACGCUGGCGGCAUGCCUAACACAUGCAAGUCGCACGGGUGGGUUUCGGCCCAUCAGUGGCGGACGGGUGAGGAACGCGUAGGGAUCUGUCCUUUGGUGGGGGAUAACCGCGGGAAACUGCGGCUAAUACCGCAUGGGGCGCGCGGGUGAGACCGUGCGUCAAAGGCGCGCGCCGCGAGGCGUGUGUCGCCGGGGGGUGAGCCUGCGUCCGAUUAGCUCGUUGGCGGGGUAGUGGCCCACCAAGGCUUCGAUCGGUAGCUGGUCUGAGAGGGUGAUCAGCCACACCGGGACUGAGACACGGCCCGGACUCCUACGGGAGGCAGCAGUGGGGAAUAUUGGACAAUGGGCGCAAGCCUGAUCCAGCAAUGCCGCGUGGGUGAAGAAGGUCUUCGGAUUGUAAAGCCCUUUCGGCGGGGACGAUUGUGACGGUACCCGCAGAAGAAGCCCCGGCUAACUUCGU